ACAUCGAUGGGAGAACACAGUGAAAUGUGAUAAGUAAUGUGAAUUGCAGAAUUCAGUGAAUCAUCGAAUCUUUGAAC
rnacentral:rRNA from 1 species